rnacentral:rRNA from 1 species
AGUGAACGCUGGCGGUAGGCCUAACACAUGCAAGUCGAACGGCAGCACAGUAAGAGCUUGCUCUUACGGGUGGCGAGUGGCGGACGGGUGAGGAAUACAUCGGAAUCUACUUUUUCGUGGGGGAUAACGUAGGGAAACUUACGCUAAUACCGCAUACGACCUACGGGUGAAAGCAGGGGAUCUUCGGACCUUGCGCGAUUGAAUGAGCCGAUGUCGGAUUAGCUAGUUGGCGGGGUAAAGGCCCACCAAGGCGACGAUCCGCAGCUGGUCUGAGAGGAUGAUCAGCCACACUGGAACUGAGACACGGUCCAGACUCCUACGGGAGGCAGCAGUGGGGAAUAUUGGACAAUGGGCGCAAGCCUGAUCCAGCCAUACCGCGUGGGUGAAGAAGGCCUUCGGGUUGUAAAGCCCUUUUGUUGGGAAAGAAAAGCAGCAGGUUAAUACCCCGCUGUUCUGACGGUACCCAAGGAAUAAGCACCGGCUAACUUCGUG